rnacentral:lncRNA from 1 species
AGACAGGAGGCAGCUGAAGCCAAAGAGGACCCACGCCUGAAGCUCUGUGUGUGUGAUUGGAGCAGAGAGAGGCCAGGACCCAAGGAAAUCCCAGCAGCAAGGGAAAAAAACAGAUUGACUCUCAGUGACUCAUUUAGCUCCUGGAUUGGACAGAUCUCUCCCCUGCUGGCAAUUUGGCUGAGCAUCAAUGGACAGAUACCAGGAUGAAUAGCUUAAAAUAAUUAGGGGUUGGGAAUCUGCAAAACUGCUAGCCAUCCAAUUCUUUACUGUGCAAUGUGAGGCACAAAAAAGAAAUUACAUUUAGGUUAUUAAAUAUUAAGUCAGUGGAUUUACCUCCAUUUGGUCCAGAACAGGAAACUGGAUACAAUUCAACGUUUAUUUCAUUGUGUCGAUGGCCUGUUUAUCACUGAGCGGGGCAAGAGGAAUUUGACCAAUGAUGGCAACUGGGACUACAUGAUAUAAGAAUGGUAUUUCAGCAUUUGCUUUCUGAAGAAAUACUCUCAGUGUGAUAUGAAGUUGCUGCACAUUUACCAGUGGUGACCAAGGUAUACAGCUGAGGAUGACUGCCCGGCCCCUCAAGAACUUCUUGUCUGGCAGAGGAUGAAGCACAGCAGAUCCAAGGUGAAAAAUCCAGGAAAGAAUGGAAAGGUGAAAAUCCCAUCAGGUAAAAAAAAAAAAAAAAAGGAAAAACUAAGCUCUUAUUCAUUAUAAAUGUAAAAUGUGGGAGCCUUAAGCUUUUUUUGUUUGUUUGUUUGUUUGUUUUCAUGUGUCUGGGUGGAGAAGGGUGAGGUGCCCUGUAAGGAUGAUUUUAUCUUGUACUUUUGAGUCUGAAGAUCUUCGAUGUGGUUUGGCAAGUUCAUAAAAAUAUUUGUGAUAAAGUUGAACUGCUGUCUGGAAAUGUUACACACAGAGAUGUAAGAAAGCUUAAGGAGAAAACUGCAGAAGAAUUGGCGCUGUACAUGAAUGAGGUUAAAAAUUGCUGACAAUUAGCUACUAGAUGACUCCUGCUAAAUAAAUCAUCAAAGACAUGACUGCUGCUUCCA